GUCCGGCUAGCUCAGUUGGUAGAGCAUGAGACUCAGGGUCGUGGGUUCGAGUUCCACGUUGGGCG
rnacentral:tRNA from 1 species